UACGUAGGCAGCGAGCGUUGUUCGGAAUUACUGGGCGUAAAGAGUGUGUAGGCGGUGCUCCCAGUCUGUUGUGAAAUCUCCCGGCUUAACUGGGAGGGUGCAGCGGAAACUAGAGUGCUAGAGGGUGGGAGAGGUAAGCGGAAUUCCUGGUGUAGCGGUGAAAUGCGUAGAUAUCAGGAGGAACACCUGUGGUGUAGACAGCUUACUGGACCACUUCUGACGUGAG
rnacentral:rRNA from 1 species